rnacentral:lncRNA from 1 species
GGGGAUUGAGAAAGGGAAGGAUUUGGACAAUUGAAAUCAAAUUUGGACAUGAUUCAGAUAGGUAAAGCUGAGAGGGUAAGAGAUAGGUUCAUUGCAUCAGUAAGUUAGAGGUGAAAUGAGCAUUUCUUAUAUUUGACUCAUCCUCUCACCCCAAUUAGAGCUUAGCCAUAGUGCCAUACCAUUUAACCAACUUUUAGCCAAUACUCACUAAAGGUAGCCCUUGGGAGAGAUAUAUUUGAUUCAGUGAUUUAAAAAGCGCUAGGCGCCAAAAGGCGCCAAGGUCCACAAACGCCCGAGGCGCUAGGCGCUCGCCCAGGCGCUCGCCCGAGCGAAGCGAGGCGCUAAAAUAUAAAAAUAUAAAAUAUAAUUAAUAAUUUCAAAUAAAUAAAAAUUAACAACAUUAAAAUCAAAAUAAUAUAUUAUUAAUCUAUUAACAAAAAAUAGUCGUGGGAGGCAAGGCACACAGGGGAUAGGNNNNNNNNNNNNNNNNNNNNUAGCGGGAGCAGGAGCGACGAGCAACGAGAUCGCGAUCGGGAUCGGGAUCGACAGCGGUAGCGGCGGCAGGUUAGGGUUGGGUAAGGGUUAGGGUUGGGGGUAUAUCGGUUUAGUUGGUUCGAUUGAACCAACUAACAACCGAACCAGACCUAAAAAUCUGGUUCGGUCGCCUGGUUUAACCCAGGCGCUCGCCCGAAGCGCCCGACGCCUGGGCUCGGGCGAGCGCCUAGGCGGCGCCUCUUUGAAGUGAGGCGCCUGGACAUGAAGCGAGGCGCUCGGGCCUCGCCUCGCCUCGCCCGAGCGCCUAGGCGAGCGCCCGAGCGCCUAUUGAAAUCACUGAUUUGAUUUGUUAUAAUAUAUACUUUU